UGGCCUUUCUAGGGAGUUUUUCCUAGCCACCGUGCUUCUACACCUGCAUUGCUUGCUGUUUGGGGUUUUAGGCUGGGUUUCUGUACAGCACUUUGAGAUAUCAGCUGAUGUACGAAGGGCUAUAUAAAUAAGUUUGAUUUGAUACAUACACGCACGCACAGACACACACACACAAACAGCUUUGUUUUCGUGAAUUUGCAGGACUUUUUGGGGAGUAAAUAUGCACAUGCGGACAAGAGCACACACACACACACAUGUACACGCACACGUAUGAGGGGCCAAGAAGCCAUUGCUCUCUGCACUCUCUAACUCUACUGCCUGUUUCCCUCUUCGUUUUAGUUUCAAACGCUCUGCAAAAACCAAUGUGGAGGGAUUCAUUUCCGCAUGGCAAUAAAAUAGCCCAAAUAAAGGCAGGGAAAACUGAGACGAAACCGGCCUAUUUCCUGAGGUGAAAUCCUCCAAUCCUCCAGUUGGCCUGUUGAUUCUGUCAGAGCUAAAAUACUUUAAAUGUUUUUUUUAAAGAAUACUUUUAGCAGUGAACACAAUGGAACUAGAUAACCAUAUUCCCCUUGGCGCUGAGAGGCGCUAAACUAAAAUCAGUCGACUAUGAACGCAGCCCAGCUCCCAUUACACACGGGCACGCGUGCACGUAUGUACACACACACACACACACACACACAGGCUCCCCUUACAUAGAACACCAAGCAAUAAAUCCGUCUGCGCAAUGCUGGCAACACACUAUGAUUUUCAUAUGUAUUGGUUACUAAGGGAAACGGAGGACCGCGCAAAACCACAACAAAUGACAAAGGGUGAAGCAGGGACAUCGUUCUCUGCAAAAGCAAAUCGUUUAAUACUUCUGGCAUGUCGUUGUUGGGAGUAUACGUUAAACCAGUUAAAACCAGUUAUGGGGUUAUGUGUCACUCUCUGCCAAUAGCCAUCUUUUAUUAAGAUGACCCUUGACCUUUCAAGGUUUUUGAUAUGCGAUGGGAAAGGGGAGUAAGUAGAGGUAACUGGAAAUGAAAACCUUUUCGGUCAUCAUGUGUACAUUAAGCCCACGAUGUAAAACUGAAACAUGAGCACAUAAUCACACACAGCUCUGGGUGGCAACGGGACCAUUUGAAUGAACAAUCUGGAAAGGGGAACACGGAGAACAAUCUGAUUGGUUGAAAGUAAGGAGGGUUCCAAUCUGAUUGGUCGUUAGGGUUGUUACUGUAAUGUACUGUGUAUCUUCCAUAGAACAUCUGGUUCAAUGGAAGAAGAAGAAGAAGAAGCUGUGAGGAGAGAGAAGGAAAUGGGAGACGAGAGGAAAGGAGAAUAGAAGAGAGAGGAGAGGAGGGAAGAGAGGAGAAAGUAGAGAGGAGAGGAGAAAAGAAGAAGAGAGGAGAGGGGGGAGAGAGAAGAUGAGAGAAUGAAACUUAAUGAGAGGAGAAGAUUCCACACCACUAUACUGAGAGCCGGGGCCUGGGCCAGUCAUUAUGAUGACACACGGAGCCGGAUCUCUCCGGUUCUACUGCUCCGUUUUCUGAAGCCCCAGAGCUCUAUCACUGAGGGCUGGCUCUCAUAUUCACAGCACACAAACAUCCACAGCGCCGCCAAGUCUGACGAUCGCCACUGUCUCCACGACAACACCAGAAAGACGGCUGGGGCAGAAGAGUGGAGGCUCAUAGGAGAAAAUAAUAUCACAGCGUGGUGUGUUUGGUGAGCUGCUGACCAGUGGACCUCACUCAGACACACUCAAACAUACUUUCUCACCAGACCUGGGUUCAAAACGGAUUUGAAUGCAGCACUGUUUGAUUGAACUUGUACGGUGCAAUGGAGACACACACACGGGUCACACAAUAUGCGCAUGGCCACUAAAGAGAAUGGCGCCAAAGAGAGAGAAUCUCAGUAACUUGGCACUCCUCACAACUCUAGGGUUACAGCUAGGCCAGAGGAAGGGACAGACAGACAGAAAGCUCUUGGGUUAUAGCUAGGCCAGAGGAAUGGACAGACAGACAGAAAGCUCUUGGGUUAUAGCUAGGCCAGAGGAAUGGACAGACAGACAGCUCUAGGGUUAUAGCUAGGCCAAAGGAAGGGGCAGACAGACAGCUUUACAGAUACAGCUAGGCCAGAGGAAGGGGCAGACAGACAGCUCUAGGGUUAUAGCUAGGCCAGAGGAAGGGGCAAACAGACAGCUCUAGGGUUAUAGCUAGGCCAGAGGAAGGGGCAGACAGACAGCUUUACAGAUACAGCUAGGCCAAAGGAAGGAGCAGACAGACAGCUUUACAGAUACAGCUAGGCCAGAGGAAGGGGCAGACAGACAGCUUUACAGAUACAGCUAGGCCAGAGGAAGGGGCAGACAGACAGCUCUAGGGUUAUAGCUAGGCCAGAGGAAGGGGCAGACAGACAGCUUUACAGAUACAGCUAGGCCAGAGGAAGGGGCAGACAGACA
ensembl:lncRNA